rnacentral:rRNA from 1 species
UACGUAGGGGGCAAGCGUUGUCCGGAUUUAUUGGGCGUAAAGAGCGUGUAGGCGGCUUUACAGGUCCGUUGUGAAAACUCGAGGCUCAACCUCGAGACGCCGGUGGAAACCGUAAAGCUAGAGUCCGGAAGAGGAGAGUGGAAUUCCUGGUGUAGCGGUGAAAUGCGCAGAUAUCAGGAAGAACACCCGUGGCGAAGGCGGCUCUCUGGGACGGUACUGACGCUGAGACCGCGAAAGCGUGGGGAGCGAACAGG